UUUAAAGUGUCAAAACAACACCUCUCGAUUUUGUAAACAUGUUUCCACGUGGAAGGGAGUAUUUGUGUCGGUCAAGAUUAACCCACAUACAUUGAUUUAGUAAAUAAAACCCUCGUUAGAGUACAUCUUGAACAGCCAUCUCCAGGAUAUACUCUGAAGACAGCGAUGUGAACGUUCAAGGUUUGCCUGUUUUCAGCUGUAACAAUACAAAUUGUCUGAUGAAAGCUUCAACCAUGAGAAUAGGAAAGGAUGUCAAGGCCAAAGAGAAGGCCAUAUAACAAAUGGUUGCUGAAUUCAUGAAGACUGCAUGGGAUGAUACAGUUCAUUU